rnacentral:rRNA from 1 species
UACGUAGGGGGCGAGCGUUGUCCGGAAUCAUUGGGCGUAAAGCGCGUGUAGGCGGCCCGGUAAGUCCGCUGUGAAAGUCCAGGGCUCAACCCUGGGAUGCCGGUGGAUACUGUCGGGCUCGAGUCCGGAAGAGGCGAGUGGAAUUCCUGGUGUAGCGGUGAAAUGCGCAGAUAUCAGGAGGAACACCAAUAGCGAAGGCAGCUCGCUGGGACGGUACUGACGCUAAGGCGCGAAAGCGUGGGGAGCGAACAGG